CGCACUGAACGUUGCCGGGGUGGAUUAGGCAUGCAAGUCGUGCUCGUGGCGAUUCACUACCAGCAGAGCGUCCAUCGGCAGAGUAAUACAUGACUAGCUGCCCUCGGGACUGGAAUAGCGGCGGGAAACUGCCGCUUGUGCCCGAUGACGUCUUCGGACCACUGCUGCCUCCCGGCCCAAGGAGGUGACCGUGUCCUAUCCGCUUGGUGGGAGGGUAACCGCCCACCAACGCUACGACUGCUAUGGGGCGUGACAGCGUGCCCCCACUCACUGGAACUGACAACUGCCCCUACUCCUACGGCUGAUUGCACUACAUAAUCUUCCGUCAUGGGAGCAAGCCUGACCGAACGACACCGCGUGUUGGAUGAACGCCUUCAGGUUGUAAACCGCUGUCAUAGAAGAUGAACGACUGGUGUAUCACCCGGCUUGACCUAUCCUGAGAGGAAGGGCCGGUUAAUCUCUCGCCUU
rnacentral:rRNA from 1 species